AUUGAACGCUGGCGGCAGGCCUAACACAUGCAAGUCGAGCGGAUGAAGGGAGCUUGCUCCUGGAUUCAGCGGCGGACGGGUGAGUAAUGCCUAGGAAUCUGCCUGGUAGUGGGGGAUAACGUCCGGAAACGGGCGCUAAUACCGCAUACGUCCUGAGGGAGAAAGUGGGGGAUCUUCGGACCUCACGCUAUCAGAUGAGCCUAGGUCGGAUUGGCUAGUUGGUGGGGUAAAGGCCUUCCAAGGCGACGAUCCGUAACUGGUCUGAGAGGAUGAUCAGUCACACUGGAACUGAGACACGGUCCAGACUCCUACGGGAGGCAGCAGUGGGGAAUAUUGGACAAUGGGCGAAAGCCUGAUCCAGCCAUGCCGCGUGUGUGAAGAAGGUCUUCGGAUUGUAAAGCACUUUAAGUUGGGGGGAAGGGCAGUAAGUUAAUACCUUGCUGUUUUGACGUUACCAACAGAAUAAGCACCGGCUAACUUCGUG
rnacentral:rRNA from 1 species